UACGAAGGGGGCUAGCGUUGCUCGGAAUCACUGGGCGUAAAGCGCCCGUCGGCGGCUUUCUAAGUCAGGGGUGAAAUCCUGGAGCUCAACUCCAGAACUGCCUUUGAUACUGGAGAGCUUGAGUCCGGGAGAGGUGAGUGGAACUCCGAGUGUAGAGGUGAAAUUCGUAGAUAUUCGGAAGAACACCAGUGGCGAAGGCGGCUCACUGGCCCGGUACUGACGCUGAGGUGCGAAAGCGUGGGGAGCAAACAGG
rnacentral:rRNA from 1 species